AUGCACUCCUCGCAGCCGCCACCUACCUCCCGCCCUGCUCGAGGGUGGAGCCCGAGCCUCCACUGGAGCAUGGAUCAGACGUGCAGGAGGUGGAGCUCCGCAUGGAUUACGACGUGGUCGUCGUGGGGGCCUGGAUCAUCAAGUCCGCAGGCGGCGUCGAGGGCGGUGCAAUGCCAGCUGCUGGACAUAGUUCACCCUGGGUUGGUGCUGAUGCACAAGGUGAAUUUUGAUGCCAAGACGGAGUACGACAUGAUCCAGAACUACGGGAUUCUCCUGGAUGUGUUCAACAAGUUGCAGAUAGGCAAGGUACGGGUGGUGAUUCUCCUGGCUUAG
rnacentral:rRNA from 1 species